rnacentral:lncRNA from 1 species
CCUUGUGAAAUCUUCUGCUUCUGCAUAUAUUUUAUCCCCUUCUCUCACAUGCCACCACGUUUGAGCUGCCUUUAUCUCCAUUGCUGCAAGCAUUGAUCCAGUGGCUACAAGAUGGGUGUCUCCAUAGGCUAAUCCCAUCAAUGCUGCAGAAUAGUAAGCAUUCACAGCUUCACUAGUGCUCUCUUGGUUCCGCCCAUCUGCAAAUUCGGUCAGCCCACUAGCCCAAGAAUGCAAUUUCCAUAAAUCAAAACACCUCAAACGAGGAUAGUUGGAACUCGAAUGCCUCCCUAAGGUCAUAAAAUCUGCCAUUAGGGAAUAAGCUUGAGGUCUAUACUUCCUCCCCCAUGCAGGGUCAAUCUUGGCCAGCACUGCAAUUGCAUAAAGAAAAUAACCAAGAUGGAAAUGGUGAUCGUUGUACACUCCAAAACCAAAAUCUGCCCCCGAAUCCGUUGAUCCUUGUCUAGUAACAAGUCCACCCCACUUUCCUUCAUAUAAGAAACCAUUCCCACUAAAAGUCCCAUCCAACCAUGGGGUAAUCGUAUUCUUCAAGAACUUCCUAAUCACCGGUAUCACAUCAAGAAAGCACACCUCCUCUGCAAUCAAUGCCAAUCUCGCCGCCCUGGCAAUCAAUUUCCCAUAAAAAUAAGACGAUGUUGUUGAUAUAUUGGAUGAAUUCAGAUCCUCAACAUCUCUGCAAAGCGCAGAAACAAUUUCAGGAAAUGAUUCUUCCUUGACCCCUUUAAUUGAAUUCCAGGUUAUUGAGACCGGGUCUAAUUUCAAUUUCCAUGAAUCUCCAACAACACCUACAAGCUCACCAUCAAUACUGUUAAACUUGAAAUCAUCCAAAACAGCGACCUCAUCAUCAGCCGACAAAAGCCGAAGAUGUAGAGGAUGAGCCAGCAUGAGCAAGUCUCCCCAUCCCUUCUUAUCCCAUCUGUACUCUAAACAAAAGGGCUUACUCAAUUCAGCUUUCCCUGAUAUGGGAUAGCAAGAGCUGAAUCUAUCAAGGAUCGACUCGAAUCUUGGAUUGGAAUCUGGCAGUAUGGCAAUCCGAAUUAUGCCGGAAUACGCAUCAGAAGUUAUGGAAGAAAUAUCAUGGGUCAAAUUAAUCGCAGAAGAAGUGUAAAGCAGCCAAGUUUGACCGUUGUUGAGCUUAAUGGUGUACUUGGUGCGAGAACUGCUUGGUGAGAAUGAGAGAAUCGCAUGGAUCGUCGUGAUGGAAAGGGCGGUCCCACCGGAGACGGCGCAGGUGAGAAACGGGCUUCCUCGGACCAGGAAAAACCGGAGAUUCGAGGAAGGGAGGUCUAGAGUGACGCUGAGAUCACUGAAGGAAGACACAAUGUGGCGUCUCUGAGAAUCUGGGUCAGUUUUGUUGGAGGCGGAGAUGGUGAGAUCAGGAUUGAAGAUUUGGUAGAUGAAAACAGAGGUCAAGAACUGAGAUGGGUAUGAGAGGGAGAGAGAGGAGGAGGAAGAUUUGAUGAGAUAGGGAUGAAUAUACUCAGGCUGAUCACCAUGUUUGAGAACAAAGUUUUGGAAGAAGGAAUUGGUGGGAAGUGGGGCAGUAAGGAGGUCGGGAGAAAAGAAGGGGGAAGGAUCAGGUAUGACUGAGGAUUCGAUUUUUGGAAAGAGGAAGGGGGAGGAUUGUGGAAUGUGAUGGUGGUGAUGGGGUUCUGCCAUGAUUGGUGAUGAAGGAGACAGAGGAGACAAAGGAGACAAAGGAGGAGGCGGAGAAGGAGGUGGAGUUAUGGUUUUGGGGGUUUUAGGUGGUUUUGAACGUUUUUUGAAGCUCUUGCUAAUCACGAGUUUGACUUUUCUUCUGAUUUUUUUCAACAUCUCGAGGUGAUUGAUUGGUGAGCCUUGACCCAACUGUUAAAUUAUCGAAGAACGCAAAUAGAUCGAGGAUUUGUUAGGGAUUUUGAUACAGAAAACGGAGAAAAUGGAGGCAAUGGAAACGGAGAAAAUGGAGGCUGUUUGCCUCUAAUUGGAUGGAACUUUCCACCCACAUUCACAACCAGAGUGGGGUAGGUUUGGCCCUUUUGGGUGGGACUUGAAUUAAGAAUGUGAAAACAGGGAAAUGGGGGAAGUAAGAGGAAGAAGAAUGGAUUGGAAGGGAAGUUUGUGGGCUCUGCAAGUUAUGGUUUUGAUGAAUGGCAUGAUUGCAAGACAUGUUAAAUGGUUUUCAAAGGAAUAUGUGUAGGGAGGGACAAGACACUGGGGUGGUUAGGGAAUGUUUGGCAUACAAGAAAGUAAUGGGGUGAAUAUUCCUUUUUUAAGUUUUUCAGAGAAUGAGUGAAGCUUCACAACAUUUAGACAAUGGAUGCCACCUAUUUUAACCAAUGCUAAUGUUUUGAACCCUUGAUUUAUAUAACCAAACACAUCUUUCAAUUUCAGGUAUUUGAUUUUGGGUAAUUUCUCUUAUUGCAAGAAAGCCUUGCUACAAAGAAAGAAUAGCAAGAAAAGAAGAAAAAUUUUAGAAAAUGUCAACCAUCCAUGAGAAUAAUGGUGUAGUCAUUCACACAAAGUCUCAUGAGAAUUUAUAACACUUCUUGAUAUCCGUUGUCUUAUAUUUUGGGCUUAGAUUUCAAAAGAAAGAAUCAAUUGUAUUUUGGGCUUGAAAUUUCUUUGGGGUUUUGGCCCAAAUUGGGUUUUUAAAUAAGCAAUUGGGUUUGGUCCAAACUAGUUUGAGCCCAAUUAGUCCAUUAAAAAUGUUUAAAACCCUUUUCAACAAAUUUAAUUUCCAAUAUCAAAAGAUUCAAAAUCUAAUUCGAAGCUUUUGUUUUAACCUAUUUUUGAAUGAAGAACCUACCCAACUGUACCAAAUUACACUACAUAUUAUAGUUAAUACCACAUAAGCAACGCCAACAAUCACUCUAACCCCAUUAUUUCCUGCAUAAUGAGAAUUUUUUUUAUAAUUGUUCUGUGAUUUAAAAAUAGGAAAAUUAUCAAAAAAGUGGGCUAAAGAUGAUAAUGUCUAGGAAGAACUUAUGAAUUCAUAUGAAGGACAAAAUUUAUCAUAGUAUAAUUAUGUAUUUGAAUGUGAUCUUUUAUAUAUAAAUAACUUCAUGAUGAUGAUAAGGAUAGUCUAUCAAUAUUUGCAUAUAUCGGUUUCCAAAAUAUCAUUUUUCCCUUUUGAAUAAUAUUUGCAUAUAAGGAUACUCAAUCAAUAUUUGCAUAUAAAUAACUUCAUGAUGAAUUCAUAUUAUUUUUUCUUUGACCUAUAUAUAUAUAUAUAUAUAGGUCAAAGAAAAAAUAAUAAAAUAUUAAAAUAAAAAAUUAUAUAUUUUUUUUGUUAUUUUCAUUAUAAUAAAUUAAAUUAUUUGAAAUAUACUUUUUUUUUUCAAGUUCUUUUUUUUUCUUCAAAAAACUUGAGAUUUUUUAGAGAAUCCGGUAAAAAAAAUUAAUUUUCAAUCUCUCCUAAAUAAAAAUCACGCCCUAAGGUUAUUAUGUCAUUAUAUAUAUAAUUAAAAGUUUUAUUAUUCUAAUAGAAUAAACAAUGAUUUUUCACGAGUACUCAUCAAUUGAAAAAUAUUCAACUAUUUGUUUGGUAAUAUAGCAUGUGAAUUUUUUUUUAAAAUAAAUUAAAUUAUGUUAUAAUGUAUUAUUACAUUAGUGUAUUUGUAUUAUAAGUAUACUGCAUUUAUGUUGUACCUAUAUUUUAUGACAAAAGUAAUGAUUCUAAAAAUACCUAUUCAUACCCUAUUGUAUCUUAUAUAAAAGUUAUUAGUAUUUUCUCAUUUAAAAAAAAAAAGUAUAUCCAAAUUAUAAAUCUAACCUCUAUUUUUAAAUUAAUUUCAAGGUAAAAAGAUGAAAAGAAUGUUAAGUACAACGUAUGUCUUCAACCAAGAUAAAGGAAAGGAUCAAUUAUGUGUAAAAGAGAGACUCAAAUAAAGUAGAAGAGUUCAAGUAAAGGUGUGAGCAAGUCUUACGCAUGAGAGAUUGGAAAUAAAUAUUAUGGAGAGAGUUAGAGAACGCACAACCAUAAGAGAUAAGAAAUAAAUAUUAUGGAGAGAGUUAGAGAGCGCACAACCAUGAGAGAGAAGGUUUGAAGCCUUGUUGUCAAGUUCAAAGGGAAAUUGGAACUCAAACUAAUGCAUCAACACUAACCCUAACUUUGAGUUUAAUUCUAGGUAGACUCCUAUGAGUUUUAUGAUAAAUCGCACAUAUAGUUUGGAAGCUUUUAAAAGUCAGAAAUCCAACUCUUUAAAUUAUUUGUAAAUCAAAGUUAAAACAAAGAAGAUAUGAUAAACCCAAUUGAAUUACAUGGAAAAAAAAUAGUCUAAUUUAAAAAUUACAAAUUAAGCUCUAAAUAGUGUUCAAUCAUUUGGACCUCAAAGGCAAUACGACAAAGAAAAAGGCACCGGUGAAAUUUGAAACCCAACAUUCAUUUUGAAUAUAGGGACACUAUUUUAAACCCAAAACACGGAGGAAACAAAAUAAGUAUUGGUUGAGUUUGAAAUAAUCGGUAGAUUUCAAACUCAACUAGUUAAUUUUGUACUAAACCAUUUUAGAGACUUAGGCCACUUAUGAGUAUGAGAAAGCAAAACAUUAUUGAGAUUUUGCUAUUUUUUAUCUUAAAAAAGGUUGAAUAGUUCUAAAAUGAUCAUAGCUACCUUUUAGGUAGAUAAAUAACAAGAGUGGCUAUAAAGACUUUGUAGGCAAAAGGAGCAACAAGGGUGUUUUGGUAUUUUCCACAAACUUAUAUUUGUGUGUAUAUGUUAAGGUUAUUAUUAUUAUUAUUAUUAUUAUUCACUUGAAAGUCCUAAACUUUAUUGUUUAAUGAUCUAAUUUUAUUAGAAGUUUGUUCUUUCUUAGGUUCCAAUUUGGGUGGUUCAACUCAAAUCUAACUAACCCAAUUUUGCAUGGACUUAGGUGAUUUAAUUUGUAAAUUAGGUUUGGCUUGGUCAAAAAAUAUCAACCUAGAUUAAAUUUAGGUUGGGCUUGGGUAAGGGUCUCAAGAAACCUCAACCUAGCACAAACCCAAUUGUAUAUUUGUAUAAAAUUUAAAUUAUAAAUUUUUAUGUAUGUAUUGUAUGUAUGUAUAUAUAUUAUUUCAUGGUAUUGUACUGAGAAUCUUUUUGGUAAUGCUUUCAAAAAUUAUUUCUAGCUUAAAAAGUCAUUUUUGAAAAAAUGAUCAGACAAAAUUUAAAAAAUACUUUUAUAAAGUUAAAAAAUCACUUGUAGUGUAAACGACCUGAACAGUUGGAGAAAAGAAACUUAGCAUUUCACAUGAUGCUGAAGCAGAUGUGGAAUAGUUGUUCUUCAGUUUCAGCUAAGAAAUUGAGAAGACAGGGCAAUAUGCAUAAAUCAAUCCAGUCAUGGCUGCCCAAAGGAAAGAUUCAUCCAAUCUUCGGGCAUAAUUUAUUCGACUACAUCCCGAAUGUAAGGCAAAGAAUUUCACUGAUAAUACUGGCCAAACCAGGAUAAUUUUCCUCCUUCAAGUCCCCCUUCCCCUUCAUCUCCUCUGCUGUGAAUCCACCACAAAAGGUUCGUAAGUGAGUUUCCAUCAUCAUAACCACUCAGUUUCCCGAUCUUCUCCAAUGCCACUUCUUUGUCAUAAAUCCCUUCCAUGGCAUAUAGAAACCCCUUCCACCCUUCUCCAACUCCCUCCCGUCCCAAAGCUGGCAAUGUCCAUUUCACCAGCUCUCUCACAAACCCCACAUCGGAGAACAGAACCUCGGUGAUGGGCAAUACAGGUAACACCUGAAUUCCAAGCCUGCACUCUCUCCACUCAGGAGGAGCAAACCAAAGUCCACCGUCCCUCUUGUUAGCCCACAGAAUACCCACCACCCUGUUCUCCCUUGUGAAAUCUUCUGCAUACAUUUUAUCCCCUUCUCUCACAUGCCACCAUGUUUGAGCUGCCUCUAUCUCCAUUGCUGCAAGCGUUGACCCAGUGGCUACAAGAGGGGCAUCUCCAUAGGCUAAUCCCAUCAAUGCUGCAGAAUAGUAGGUAUUCACAGCUUCACUAGUGCUCUCCUGGUUCCUCCCGCCUGAAGAUUCAGUCACCCCACUUGCCCAAGAAUGCAAUUUCCAUAAAUCAAAACACCUCAAACGAGUAUAGUUGGAAUUCGAAUUCCUCCCUAAGUUCAUGACAUCCGCCAUUAGGGAAUAAGCUUGAGGUCUAUACUUCCUCCCCCAUGCAGGGUCAAUCUUGGCCAGCACUGCAAUUGCAUAAAGAAAAUAACCCAGAUGGAAAUGGUGAUCGUUGUACACUCCAAAACCAAAAUCUGCCCCCGAUUCCGUUGAUCCUUGUUUAGUAACAAGUCC